AGCAGCCGCGGUAAUUCCAGCUCCAAUAGCGUAUAUUAAAGUUGUUGCAGUUAAAAAGCUCGUAGUUGAAUUUCGGGGUUAGUAGGUUGGUCAUGCCUCUGGUAUGUACUGGUCUCACUGAUUCCUCCUUCCUUAUGAACCGUAAUGCCAUUAAUUUGGUGUUGCGGGGAAUUUGGACUGUUACUUUGAAAAAUUAGAGUGUUUAAAGCAAGCUAACGCUUGAAUACAUUAGCAUGGAAUAAUGAAAUAGGACGUUCGAUCUUAUUUUGUUGGUUUCUAGGAUUGACGUAAUGAUUAAUAGGGAUAGUUGGGGGCAUUAGUAUUCAAUUGUCAGAGGUGAAAUUCUUGGAUUUAUUGAAGACUAACUACUGCGAAAGCAUUUGCCAAGGAUGUUUUCAUUAAUCAAGAACGAAAGUUAGGGGAUCGAAGACGAUCAGAUACCGUCGUAGUCUUAACCAUAAACUAUGCCGACUAGGGAUCGGAUGAUGUUAAUUUUUUAAUGUACUCAUUCGGCGCCUUA
rnacentral:rRNA from 1 species